GUUUCCAUAGAUGUCCCCUCUGAUUUAUCCUUCCAUAAAAGUACAAUAAAAUCCCAAGUGAUAUUCAUUGGUCAAUACAUAAAAAUUACUUAUAAUCAACAAUGUUUAUUUAAUUCUUUAUAAAACGUCGCACACAAGCAGUUGCAUUGGAUACAAAAUAGACAGUUUAAAGACAGAUCACUCGACUAGUUUUCUCUCAGUUUGAUCCAUGGUUUGAUCUUCGUCCUUCGAUCUUUGAUAAGUAUUACCGUUAUCUAUUCCACAGUUUGUUGAAAGAAAG